CGGGAUCCAUCAAGCUUGCUUGGUGGUGAGAGUGGCGAACGGGUGAGUAAUGCGUGACCGACCUGCCCCAUGCUCCGGAAUAGCUCCUGGAAACGGGUGGUAAUGCCGGAUGUUCCACAUGAUCGCAUGUGAUUGUGGGAAAGAUUCUAUCGGCGUGGGAUGGGGUCGCGUCCUAUCAGCUUGUUGGUGAGGUAACGGCUCACCAAGGCUUCGACGGGUAGCCGGCCUGAGAGGGCGACCGGCCACAUUGGGACUGAGAUACGGCCCAGACUCCUACGGGAGGCAGCAGUGGGGAAUAUUGCACAAUGGGCGCAAGCCUGAUGCAGCGACGCCGCGUGAGGGAUGGAGGCCUUCGGGUUGUAAACCUCUUUUGUUUGGGAGCAAGCCUUCGGGUGAGUGUACCUUUCGAAUAAGCGCCGGCUAACUACGUGCCAGCAGCCGCGGUAAUACGUAGGGCGCAAGCGUUAUCCGGAUUUAUUGGGCGUAAAGGGCUCGUAGGCGGCUCGUCGCGUCCGGUGUGAAAGUCCAUCGCUUAACGGUGGAUCUGCGCCGGGUACGGGCGGGCUGGAGUGCGGUAGGGGAGACUGGAAUUCCCCGGUGUAACGGUGGAAUGUGU
rnacentral:rRNA from 1 species